GAUGAACGCUGGCGGCGUGCCUAAUACAUGCAAGUCGAGCGAACAGAUAAGGAGCUUGCUCCUUUGACGUUAGCGGCGGACGGGUGAGUAACACGUGGAUAACCUACCUAUAAGACUGGGAUAACUUCGGGAAACCGGAGCUAAUACCAGAUAACAUAUUGAACCGCAUGGUUCAAUAGUGAAAGGCGGCUUUGCUGUCACUUAUAGAUGGAUCCGCGCCGUAUUAGCUAGUUGGUAAGGUAACGGCUUACCAAGGCAACGAUACGUAGCCGACCUGAGAGGGUGAUCGGCCACACUGGAACUGAGACACGGUCCAGACUCCUACGGGAGGCAGCAGUAGGGAAUCUUCCGCAAUGGGCGAAAGCCUGACGGAGCAACGCCGCGUGAGUGAUGAAGGUCUUCGGAUCGUAAAACUCUGUUAUCAGGGAAGAACAAAUGUGUAAGUAACUGUGCACAUCUUGACGGUACCUGAUCAGAAAGCCACGGCUAACUACGUG
rnacentral:rRNA from 1 species